AGCUCUCACUGCCUUGGGCCCUCCAGUCCCAAGUGCCUCAGCCAUCACAAGGGUAUUCCACACCCUCCCUGUUCCUCCCCUGCAGGUUCCCUGGCUGCUGGACAUGGUGGUGUCCUGGGUGGCAGCGGUGGCCUCCCUGACGCUAUUUGGCCGGGUCAUCAUCUUUCCUGAGUUUCAGUUGGAGUUUGUCCCCAAACCACUUCCCAGGAAACCACCCAAGGCCUCAGGAGAAGUCCCUGGUGAGGGCAAGAAAGAGAAAGCAGAGCAUUUGCCACCUCUUGGCCAGAGCAGGUAAGGUAAAGCAGCAGCCAGCUCCCUACCAUGCCACACAAAACCAAACUGUGAUGGGAAAAUCCCCAUUUGAUGAUCAUCCAGA
rnacentral:lncRNA from 1 species